rnacentral:lncRNA from 1 species
GGAAAGAGGCAGCAUCUCUAACCCUUUAACCAGAGCCAAGGGAGGAUCUUGGCAGUGUCAGAAGGGUCAUUUCCAGCUUCAGAUUAUAGCUAUGGCUUAAGAGGUAUGAACAAUUCAGCCUCCGCCCUUGGCAAUAUCUCGAACUGAAGGAUCAAUAGUUUUUUUAUUUUGUUUUCUCUUUCCUCUGCUGAAUCAUCAGUGGUGAGAAUGAAAAAGUGCUGGAAUUCUUGAUCUUAGGAAUCCGGGACCCACCUCAUGAAGACAGCCACCUUGAAAUGAACUCAGGGGAAAACAGAACUAAAAUUAAGAGAGAAUGAGCUUGGACAACAGUCGCUGACUCCUGAAUUUAGCAAUGCUUGAAGGCAGCUGCCCCUUGGACAAGCCAGUUAUGUCUUCCAACAUUAUCUUUUACUGCUGGUGGUAAUUUGAUAUGGGUUCUUUCAUUAAAGGGAGUCCUGGCUCAUAGGGACCUUUUUGCUAAAACCUCCCUGGCUCAUAGGGACCUUUCCAGCCAUCUGCUCUGGGAGUCUUAAAAUUGUAAAAUGAACUGGGAAGGCCCAUCAACAACCAAGCAGGAAAGAGAAGAGGGACUUUUCAAAAUCUCAGUUCAGAGGCCUCCACUGAGCUUUCCCAUUGGCCAGAAGCAGGGAGGCUGGUAUUGUCCACCUAUCCCCUGCCCCUACCAAAGUGCUAUAUACUCUUUCAACCAUUUAUUGAGCACCUAGUAUUUGCCAAGCCAUGUGCCUUGACCUAGAAGGAAGGGAAGAGUGGAUACGUGUUCCAUUGUACAGUACAUGACCAGUGUGCGUGCUGUGGGCACCUGCAUACCAUAUUUCAUGCCAUCCUUAUAACAGCCCAAAGAAACAGGAUCGUUAUUUCCAUCUUGCACAUAAGAAAUCAUCAGCAAUAGAGCUGAAGAGGGUUAAGUGAGUAGCUGGGACUGCAGGUGCAUGCCACCACACCCAGCUAAUUUUAUUUUUAUUUUUUGUAGGGAUGGGGUUUCAUCAUGUUGCCCAGGCUGGUCUCAAACUCCUGAGUUCAAGUGAUCCACCCGCCUCGGCCUGCCAAGGUGUUGGGAUGACAAGUGUGAAUCACUGAACCUAGCUGGAGUUUUUGUUAUAGGAUAUUGUGUGGCAGAGCCUGGGACAUGAGCUCGAGACCUGGGACUGAGGAGGAGAGAAAGGAAGAGAGAGGGAGGGAGGGAGGGAAGUCAGGGAGAGAUACAGGGAGAGUGCAAAGAGAGAUGCAAAGAAUAGAAACAAAAAGAAAGGAGGCUUUCUUAGUGACUUUAACUGUGACAUUCAACCCAAGAAAAGAAAGAAAAUUAAUGCCUUCAGUUUGGAGACUUUGACAGAUUCCGUGCCAGAGCUUAAGCUGACUGAGAGGACGUUUGAACGCUCAUGAAGAGCCCACCCACAGCCUCAAGAUGCACUGGUCUUCAGAGUGCAAUGACGUCUGCACUGGCAUCUCAUCCAUGCUCCUCCAAGAGCUGAACCCAUUAGCUUGGCCAAUCUAUUCCUUCCAGCAACAGCCUGAGAGCCAAUGAAUGACCUAGAAGGCAGACACCCUGGGGGUAUAGCACGAGUCUUCACCAACCUAUUCAGGGCAUCCUGCCAGCUUUGGCUGUCCAGCAGUGCCUGCAUGUUGAGGAUAUAUUGACGCUCCACAGUCACAGCGUGGCAUGAUGGCCCCUGGCGUGACCGUCGUGCUUCCUUUGAAUCAACAUAUUGGUGGUCUAACCAUGACCUGUGUUGACACUAUGGCCACACAGUAGCCUUAGAGGACACUCACAAUGUAAGCAAGCGUGUAUCAAUACUUGGACAGAGGAGGGUGUGGUGUUUGUGUGUGCAUAAAAAGUAUGUGUUAUUGUUGUUUUAUAAAGGGAGUGCUGUUUUGGAGAUUCUUCCAUAUUUGCAGUAAUAAAUCUAUAUCAUUA